rnacentral:rRNA from 1 species
AUUGAACGCUGGCGGCAGGCCUAACACAUGCAAGUCGAGCGAGAAAGGUCUUCGGGCUGAGUACAGCGGCGGACGGGUGAGUAACGCGUAGGAAUCUACCUGGUAGUGGGGGACAACAUGGUGAAAACCAUGCUAAUACCGCAUACGUCCUAUGGGGGGAAANCGGGGGACCUUCGGGCCUCGCGCUAUCAGAUGAGCCUGCGUAGGAUUAGCUUGUUGGUGAGGUAAAGGCUCACCAAGGCGACGAUCCUUAGCUGGUCUGAGAGGAUGAUCAGCCACACUGGAACUGAGACACGGUCCAGACUCCUACGGGAGCAGCAGUGGGGAAUAUUGCGCAAUGGGCGAAAGCCUGACGCAGCCACGCCGCGUGAGUGAUGAAGGCCCGAGGGUCGUAAAGCUCUGUCGGAGGGAAGAACAAAAUGACGGUACCUCCCAAGAAAGCACCGGCUAACUCCGUGCCAGCAGCCGCGGUAAAGUGACUACU